rnacentral:rRNA from 1 species
CUAAGUUUGAUGGCGACCGGCGCACGGGUGAGUAACACGUAUCCAACCUGCCGAUGACUCGGGGAUAGCCUUUCGAAAGAAAGAUUAAUACCCGAUGGCAUAGUUCUUCCGCAUGGUAGAACUAUUAAAGAAUUUCGGUCAUCGAUGGGGAUGCGUUCCAUUAGGUUGUUGGCGGGGUAACGGCCCACCAAGCCUUCGAUGGAUAGGGGUUCUGAGAGGAAGGUCCCCCACAUUGGAACUGAGACACGGUCCAAACUCCUACGGGAGGCAGCAG